rnacentral:rRNA from 1 species
AUUGAACGCUGGCGGCAGGCCUAACACAUGCAAGUCGAGCGAGCGGCGGACGGGUGAGUAAUGUAUGGGGACUGCACGAUAGAGGGGGAUAACUACUGGAAACGGUGGCUAAUACCGCAUACUAUCGGAUAACCCAUAUGGGAUUAGCUAGUAGGUGGGGUAAAGGCUAACCGGGGCGUCGAUAUCUAGCUAGUCUGAGAGGAUGAACAGCCACACUGGGACUCAGACACGGCCCAGACUCCUACGGAGGCAGCAGUUGGGAAUAUUGCACGAGGGACGCAAGCCUGUUGCAGCCAUGGCGCGUGUAUGAAGAAGGCCUUAGGGUUGUAAAGUACUUUCAGCGGGGAGGCGUUACCCGCAGAAGAAGCACCGGCUAACUCCGUGCCAGCAGCCGCGGUAAUAC